CAAAUUCGUGAUUGAUAAUCGACCCGGGAACGCGGGUUAAAAAAAGGCGCAGCAUUUGGAGCAUAGAACAGGGGCUGAGCUUUCGGAUUCUGAUACUGGCCAUGAAUUCCAGGACCGACCACCUGAGGGCUUCGAUUGCCUCCAGUUCCAGGAAAUCCAUGGUAGAAAUGCUCUAAGGGAUCAGUGGAGUGUGAAGAAUAAUGAGUUCGAAUCCAGAUGGAUUACAGAUUGGCUAAAAUGGGACACUGGACAACAAGGUGGUGGAAAUUGGAAUUCUCUCUCACUUCUACACCUUAUAAUUCUAAGCAUAUAUAAACAAUGAUUGCCUCAAGUUCUACUUAAUCCAUUCAAAAUCUUGCAAAGGAUCAGUAGAAUGUGAAAAAACUUGGGUUUGCAUCACAGGUUAAUCAAGUACCAAUCAAUAUUUAUAUAGAUAUUUACUAGCUGCAGUGACCUCAUAAAUGACCCGAUUGUAUACUUAAACCCGAUUUAGAAUUAAUUUUCUACCAUUUUUUUCCCGAUAAGUCAACUUUCUA